GAUGAACGCUGGCGGCGUGCCUAAUACAUGCAAGUCGAGCGAACAGACGAGGAGCUUGCUCCUUUGACGUUAGCGGCGGACGGGUGAGUAACACGUGGAUAACCUACCUAUAAGACUGGGAUAACUUCGGGAAACCGGAGCUAAUACCGGAUAACAUGUUGAACCGCAUGGUUCAACAGUGAAGGACGGUCUUGCUGUCACUUAUAGAUGGAUCCGCGCCGCAUUAGCUAGUUGGUAAGGUAACGGCUUACCAAGGCAACGAUGCGUAGCCGACCUGAGAGGGUGAUCGGCCACACUGGAACUGAGACACGGUCCAGACUCCUACGGGAGGCAGCAGUAGGGAAUCUUCCGCAAAGGGCGAAAGCCUGACGGAGCAACGCCGCGUGAGUGAAGAAGGUCUUCGGAUCGUAAAACUCUGUUAUUAGGGAAGAACAAAUGUGUAAGUAACUAUGCACGUCUUGACGGUACCUAAUCAGAAAGCCACGGCUAACUACGUG
rnacentral:rRNA from 1 species